rnacentral:lncRNA from 1 species
GGGUCUGGGGAGGGUAAUAUGUAGACGAGCCUUACCCCUACCCGAAAGGGUAGAGAGGCUGUUUCCAUUCGACCCUCGGCGCAUAGGAUAAAAUUAAAAGCUGCAUUAAAACAAAAACAAAAACAAAGACAAAAUUAGAAACAAAAACAAGACAAAACAAAACAAUAAAGCAUUAGUAAGUCCCGCAGAAAUAACGUAAAUAAUUAUGUAAACAUAAGAGACAUAAAUACAGUCACAUGCAAUAAUAAUAAACCGUAACUACCAUACUAACAACCAUAAGGGGACAUAAGCUAAAACACUAAUCAUCUAUGACUGACCCUGCUAUCC